rnacentral:rRNA from 1 species
GCGGAGGAAAAGAAACCAACAGGGAUUGCCUUAGUAGCGGCGAGUGAAGCGGCAAAAGCUCAAAUUUGAAAUCUGGCGCCUUCGGUGUCCGAGUUGUAAUUUGAAGAUUGUAACCUUGGGGUUGGCUCUUGUCUAUGUUUCUUGGAACAGGACGUCACAGAGGGUGAGAAUCCCGUGCGAUGAGAUGCCCAAUUCUAUGUAAGGUGCUUUCGAAGAGUCGAGUUGUUUGGGAAUGCAGCUCUAAGUGGGUGGUAAAUUCCAUCUAAAGCUAAAUAUUGGCGAGAGACCGAUAGCGAACAAGUACAGUGAUGGAAAGAUGAAAAGAACUUUGAAAAGAGAGUGAAAAAGUACGUGAAAUUGUUGAAAGGGAAGGGUUUGAGAUCAGACUCGAUAUUUUGUGAGCCUUGCCUUCGUGGCGGGGUGACCCGCAGCUUAUCGGGCCAGCAUCGGUUUAAGCGGUAGGAUAAUGGCGUAGGAAUGUGACUUUACUUCGGUAAAGUGUUAUAGCCUGCGUUGAUGCUGCCUGCCUAGACCGAGGACUGCGAUU